CGGGUGCACACGAGUGAGGACAAAGUGUGCAGAAAAGACAUGUGUUGGUCUGUGAGGGCAGUCUAUGACCUAUGAAAGCUAUCAGAUGUAAGUGGGCCCGGCCUGGGGGAAGGCGGGACGUUACAAAAUGGUAUCAGUCCGGGUGCACACGAGUGAGGACAAAGUGUGCAGAAAAGACAUGUAUUGGUCUGUGAGGGCAGUCUAUGACCUAUGAAAGCUAUCAGAUGUAAGUGGGCCCGGCCUGGGGGAAGGCGGGACGUUACAAAAUGGUAUCAGAGCCGACUCUCGCGGUUUCACGGGCGCGUGUGUCGCAGUUGCGCAGGCAUUGUGCGCAUGUCUGGUGUAGACCGGGAGUGGUUACACAGCAUGGCACAUGCGCUGGCACUGGACACAUGGACGUGGCCAAGAGAGGACGUUCCUGGCCUAGGGUUGAUCGACGGGGGCGUCGAUCUCUCUUAAGGGGGUGAGGGUGUAACAUCCCGGUCUAGGGCUUAAUAGGAUUAAUAGAAUACUCAUAUCAACAAGUUGCAACUUCUUUUCCGGAAGCCAAUCUCCAAAG
rnacentral:lncRNA from 1 species